rnacentral:lncRNA from 12 species
ACAUCACCCAUGGGUAGUAACCUUGCAGGUUCUCUGCUGGAACCUGUUUAGCACAUCAUGAGUUCUGCAUAAAGUACUGCAGAAAGAUACAGAGUCAUGUUUGGAGAAAUACAAAUGAGUGUUGAUUGGGAUUCAACAAUAGACAAGACGAUAGAGAAAGUAGCUAGGGAAGGGCAGUAGGGUCCCUGUGAGUGACAGCUCUCCCCAAAUGUGUGGAAACAAGUAAAGAAGAAAUGAUGACCUGCACC